rnacentral:lncRNA from 13 species
AGCCGAUACAUUCUUAACGUAAUGGAGUUAAUCCUUAAGUUGAGGCUGGUCCAUGGGACCACGCAAAAAGAAACAAAAUGUUAUAUCUGUCUCAUUGUCGUUUUCAACCAAUUUCAAUCUCGAUUUAACUUGCACUAUAUUUUCUUCUCUAAUUUUUAGAAUUAAAAAAACUGGACCAGCUCCAAAAUUGAUUACACCCGCUUUAUGACUUUGAUCGGUCAUUAUUACGGUUACAAUCAACACACGUGGCAGACAGCACAAAGCAGACUGAAGUGAAUGAGAGACAAACAAGCGGUACUGGGCAGCAAUCGUUAUCGCAGUUCGUUCGCUAGAUUCGUGGGCAGUAUUUCACGUCAUCUUCUAUCUGAUUCUUCUACUUGUUUUUCAUCAUAAUCUUUUCGAGAUAACUUGUGACGAACAAAACACGAAAGACCUACGUUAAAUAGUUUGUUUCAAUUUUACCAAGCAAACGGCAUAUAGAGUGUUUCAAAACUGUUUUCACCUAAGAUCGCAAUGCCGAAGUAUAGUAUGUAUGUAAUGUAUGUUCUUUGUGACUCUGUAUGGAGUGUAUACAAUCGUAAAAUUUGUAAAUUCAUUACGAGCAUAAUAGAAAAAUUUUAUUUAAACUAAAAAAAUCUUACUAAGAAGUCUUAAUAAAAAUACACAGAAUUAAAUUUUUAUAAUAAAAUUUUAAAAUGGCGAUUGUAUCUAUAAAACUCAUUAAUGUCAAAAACAAUUGAUCGAGAAUAAUAAACAACUUUGUAUAAUUCGUGUCAAUA